rnacentral:rRNA from 1 species
AACCCGACUCCACGAAGUUGGAUUCGCUAGUAAUCGCGCAUCAGCCAUGGCGCGGUGAAUACGUUCCCGGGCCUUGUACACACCGCCCGUCAAGCCAUGGGAGCCGGGGGGCGCCUGAAGUCCGGGACCGCGAGGACCGGCCUAGGGCGAAACUGGUAACUGGGGCUAAGUCGUAACAAGGUAAC